UUCUUCGUCCAGUCUGCACGAGCAAAAAUUAUCGUUGGAGAAAACAAACAAACAAACAAACAAAAAGCAAGCAGAGCGUGAGCGUCUCCCACAAAGCAGAGGCAAACGGUUUGCCAUGCUUUCUGGGCUGGUAUAGAACUUAUGAGCACAGGCAUGCUUCCUACCUCAAUCUCCUGAGUAGCUGGAUCUGAAGAAUUGCCUUUGGUUCCUUACAUAGGAGUAUUACAUCAUUUGAACCCACAUGGCUGAGGGGUAAUGCCACCCCUGGCCAGGCGGUCCUGGACUUUAUAAGAGAGGACACCGGACAAGUCAGGAGGAGCAAGUCAGUAAGCAGCUCCACCAUGGCCUUCCCUUUAUUUCCCCAAACCCCUGGGUUUCUUCCUUGAGUCCUGCCUUGGCUUCCUACAAUGAAGAACAGCGAGAUGUAAGAUGAAAUAAACCUUUUUCUCCAA